AUUGAACGCUGGCGGCAGGCUUAACACAUGCAAGUCGAGCGGAGAUGAGGUGCUUGCACCUUAUCUUAGCGGCGGACGGGUGAGUAAUGCUUAGGAAUCUGCCUAUUAGGGGGGGACAACAUUCCGAAAGGAAUGCUAAUACCGCAUACGUCCUACGGGAUAAAGCAGGGGAUCUUCGGACCUUGCGCUAAUAGAUGAGCCUAAGUCGGAUUAGCUAGUUGGUGGGGUAAAGGCCUACCAAGGCGACGAUCUGUAGCGGGUCUGAGAGGAUGAUCCGCCACACUGGGACUGAGACACGGCCCAGACUCCUACGGGAGGCAGCAGUGGGGAAUAUUGGACAAUGGGGGGAACCCUGAUCCAGCCAUGCCGCGUGUGUGAAGAAGGCCUUAUGGUUGUAAAGCACUUUAAGCGAGGAGGAGGCUACUGAGACUAAUACUCUUGGAUAGUGGACGUUACUCGCAGAAUAAGCACCGGCUAACUCUGUGCCAGCAGCCGCCGUAAUAC
rnacentral:rRNA from 1 species